AGCUCCAAUAGCGUAUAUUAAAGUUGUUGCAGUUAAAAAGCUCGUAGUUGAAUUUCGGGCUCAGCGUCCAGGUCUUCCUUUACUGGUUGUACUUGUGUCGCUUUGCCUUACUUUCUAGAAGGCUUGCAUGUCCUUUACUGGGUGUGCUCUGUUUUCUAGGACUUUUACUGUGAAUAAAUUAGAGUGUUCAAAGCAGGCUAUCGCUUGAAUACAUUAGCAUGGAAUAAUAAAAUAGGACUUUGGUUUUAUUUUGUUGGUUUUAAAGACCAAGGUAAUGAUUAAUAGGGAUAGUUGGGGGCAUUAGUAUUUAGUGGCUAGAGGUGAAAUUCUUUGAUUCGCUAAAGACUAACUAGUGCGAAAGCAUUUGUCAAGGAUGUUUUCAUUAAUCAAGAACGAAAGU
rnacentral:rRNA from 1 species